GUAGGGAAUAUUGGACAAUGGGGGCAACCCUGAUCCAGCGACGCCGCGUGAGUGAUGAAGGCCUUCGGGCCGUAAAGCUCUGUUGCAGGGGAAGAACACAAUGACGGUACCCUGCUAGAAAGGAUCGGCUAACUUCGUGCCAGCAGCCGCGGUAAGACGAGGGAUCCUAGCGUUGUUCGGAAUUAUUGGGCGUAAAGCGGGUGCAGGUGGCUUGGUAAGUCAGAUGUGAAAGCCUGGGGCUUAACCCCAGAAGUGCAUUUGAUACUGCGAAGCUUGAGUGCUGGAGAGGCUACUAGAAUUCUUGGUGUAGUGGUGAAAUACGUAGAUAUCAAGAGGAAUACCGGAGGCGAAGGCGGGUAGCUGGCCAGACACUGACACUCAGACCCGAAAGCGUGGGGAUCAAACAGGAUUAGAAACCCGUGUAGUCC
rnacentral:rRNA from 1 species